UGUAUAUACUUUUAUAAAAAAAACUCUCGCUACAUUUUAAAAAUGCGAAAACCAAGCUAAAGCGGGUAAAUAUUAUUCUAUUUUGUACCUAUAGGGAAAAAACACAUUCAUUACGAAGGAGAUAAUUUUCUAUGUACAAAUUGUGGUAGGUUGGGACACACAAAAAACAAAUGCUCCUUUAUCAAAUUAGAUGCCAAAACCAUUAAAGAAAGAACUGGAGCACAGGCAACUAACUCAAUGUUGGAAAAACAAGAAGAAGAGUGGAAAACAGUCUCGUUCAAUAAGGAAAAGAGGCCAGCACAAAGGAACACUCAUCAAAAUACCACCAAGCCAAUUCACAACACCAAAGGUCCAGGUAUCCCUGUUAAAAUGUUCAAUGCUAGCACGGGUAAGUAUCUUGAUACUAAAUAUCUGUAAUACAAAUCGAAGGAUUUGAAAGAUUCCCCUACUUCAAUGGAUACAAAAAUUGAAAAAACAAAUUUUGUAAACUCCAUGAUGAAAAAUCCGGUAACCAUGGCCAAAACCACCACCCCACUUCUUAUUAAAAAUAUUUUUAAUAUUCUUGAAAAUGAGCACAUGGUUUCAGAAGAAACAACUAAUGGAACAAUCAAAAAUAAUAAAUUUUUUAUUAAUAAUCAAAAAACUCAUGCAGAGGCACAAAUGUCCAACACAAAUGGGGAUUGUGCCAUGUUGGAUAUUAACGUGUCCAACUCAACAAAAAGAGAAAAUAAUCUCAUGCAUGAAUUAAGGGAAAAUAACUUUAGUACCCCUUCUACUAAUACAACUUCCACUACCCCAAAUAUUAAUAAAAGAAUACCUUUUGUAAUUAUACUACCUUAACCAAAAAUCGGGACAAAAUCCUUGCUUUAGGAUCUCAUAAUCUCCCCCUCCCUGAGCAUGUAAGCCAAAUGGCAAAAAAAAGAUGGCCAAGGCUUACAUUUGUCCAACCAAAACAAUCAAGCAAUGGAUACUACUCUUAUAGAGGAAAUACCUAUAAACCAUGGAAUUGGGCAACCAAAAGCCAUGCAAGCGGAACACCAAAUCAUCAUCCUACCACCCAAUCCCUCUCAAACUUCCCCUAGCCCCUCUCACGCGCCUAAGUUAGUAACGUUAGAUAUCUCCAUCCCCUCUCAAAAUGCCCAGAAUCCCUUCAUCCAUAAGGAGACAUCCCAGAUUGAUACAAAUCCUAAGGCAACACAGAGCAAUUGCCAUGGAUAACCUUCCACCCUUCCCACCACAAGUAAAAAAUCUUCAGAUAAUUUACGUCCAACUACCACAAGCACAAGACUAUCAACCAGUAUCAUGGAUGAAAAUGGAAUUAAUGGGUCAUGCAGUAUCAUUCAAUCUGCAAAUCAAUGGCCAGGACUCAAUUGUGAUACUUCACAAUACCCAGUACUUGGCUCAACUAGUAGCGAAGGGCAUGAAACUAGCUAUGAAUAAUUACCUCAACCAAGUUUGGCUAAACAACAUUCUACAAACCCUAGCUCCCUCAGUGAACCCUCAACUAGUGCAUGCAAUGAGAAAUCAUUGAAACUUACCCCCUCACUUCAACCCCAUAUAUCCUCAAAAUGCUCUUCUGGACAUGCCGUUUUUUCCCCAGAAUCACUAACCCAACUCAACCCUAUCUUCAUGCCUUGGAAGAAACCUCCACCAGUCCAAGAGCAGUACAUUCCUCAACCACCCCAACAACCUCCAUCACCACCUCACCAACAAGCCCAAAACCAAGAACCAGUAGAGGCAGAAAUGGAGGAGGAGGAACCACUCAAUAUAAUCUUAGAACAAAUCCUAGAGUUCUCAAGCCUAGACGGGGUAAAGGUAUUUCUCUUUUCGGAGAUACAAGAGAAGAGGCACGUACUCAACUGCCUAUUAGCAUUGUAAAAAAUGCCCGAUGGACAUCAGGCCACCCCAGGAUCCAACGGUGGGGAACAUGGCCAUGAUAUUAGUACCAGCUUUGAGAAGGAACCCUAUUCUGGGGACUGUGAGGGAAAAUGGGGAGCCACUAAACCAAAAUCUUAGUAUUCCCAUGAAUCAUCCCACAAAUACCAUUAUUUGGAAUAUAAGAUGUGGGAAUAAUGAAAACUUUAUGAGGAAUUUCAAAGAGAUGGUCGAUACUCAUAGACCUUGCAUGGUAGAAUUACUGGAAACAAGAAUAGGAAUCCAUGUGGAAUUGCUCAAUGAAUUUGGCUUCACAGAAAUGGUAGAAGUUCCAUCAGAUGGCGAAGCAGGAGGUAUCAUGCUUCUAUACAACCAUGAGGUGGUGAUUGUCCAAAACUUCGUUCGUAGGAAUCAAAAAAUCCAUGCAACGAUUGAGGUAUUACCUAUACGUAAACAGUGGCUCUUUAGUACUAUUUAUGCUAGCACUGUUUUAUAUAAUAGAAAUGUUAUGUGGCAUAACUUAGAGCAAAUUAGUAGAAACCAUAUAGGACCUUGGAUGGUGGGAGGGGAUUUCAAUGAUGUAUUUUCUACUAGUGAUAAGUUUGGUGGUAGACCUAUAAAAGAUUCACGGGCAAAACUUCUUAGGUCAAAAAAUUAAUAACUGCAAUCUCGUUGAUCUUGGUUUCAAGGGUUGCAAGUUUACUUGGUCCAAUCAUAGACAUAAAAAAAAGGGAUUAAUAAUGGAAAGGUUAUAUAAGGUUUUUGGAAAUGAUAAAUGGAUUGAAUUAUUCCCUAAUAAUAGCUCUAUAAUCCAUUUACCUAAGACUUAUUUGGAUCACAACCCCAUAUUAGUUUAACUAAUUCCUAAAAAUCGACUCCUCCACAAACAACUCUUUAGACUAGAAACAUAUUGGUGUAAUCAUCCGGAAUUUUAACCCCUAGUAGAAAAAAUAUGGUGUGACCCUAAUUACCUUAGGAACUGCCAAAAUUUUGUUCACUAUGUAAAAAAUGGAAAGCUAGUACGUUUGGGGACUUGUUGGGAAAAAAACGUGAGCUAUUGGCUCGACUAAAUGGUAUUCAAAUAUCGAGCCACUAUGCAACCAGUAGCUUCCUCCCAAAUCUGGAAAAAGAAUUAAAAAGUGCUUACAAUGAUCUUCUCUUAAUUGAAGACGAUUACUGGAAGAUUAGAUCUAGGAUCAUGUGGCUAAACGAGGGUGACUGCAACACAAAAUAUUUCCACAUUUAUGCCACAAAUAGAAGAAGACGUAGUAAAAUAAAUUUUUUUAAGGAUGAGGUUGGUAAUUGGAUCAAUGAUCCGCUUCUUAUUAUGUCUUAUGUUAACAAUUAUUUUAAGGACUUUUUACCUCCUCCCAUGUAAUAACUAGUAGGAAAAACCUCCUAAACACUAGUUCAAAUAUUGGCCAAGUGGAUCUUACUACAAUAGAUGGACCCUUGCAAGAAAUUAAAAUCAAGAGAGCUAUUUUUUCUUUCAAUCCUUUUAAAGCCCCGGGUCCCGAUGGACUUCAUCCUUUCUUUUACCAAAAGUAUUGGAAUAUCAUAGGUCCUUCUGUGGUGAAGCUUUGUAAAGAUAUAGUCGACAUCCAAGUAAUCCCCCCUAUUAUUAACAAUAUCUACCUAUGCCUAAUACCCAAAAUAUCUAACGCUAAUAACAUUAGAAAUUUUAGACCAAUUGGUUUGUGUAAUACGAUUUAUAAAAUAAUAAAAAAGAUACUAGCAAAUAGGUUAAAGCCUUUUCUAAAUAACCUUAUUAGUCCCUUCCAAGCUAGCUUUGUGAAAAAUAGAAGAGCCUCCGAUAAUGCUGUUAUUAUCCAAGAAAUUGUCUCAAACUUAAAAAAAAUUAAAGGGAAAACAAGGCCAAAUGCUGCUAAAAAUCGAUUUGGAGAAAGCAUUUGAUCGUAUUGAAUGGUCGUUUAUACACUAUACCCUUCAGUACUUUAAAUUUCCUCCUAAGUUCUCAAAACUCCUGUUAAAUUGUAUUAUAGCUAGCUCAAUAUUUGUCCUAUUAAAUGGCUCUGUGACAAACUCUUUUGAGCCAACUAGGGGAAUUAGAAAAGGGGAUCCCAUCUCGUCAUAUAUCUUUAUACUUUGUCUUGAAAUACUUUCAAGAUAUAUUCAUUAUCAGGUAGACUUAAUGAAAUGGGAUCCAAUAACUACUAGCAGGAAGAGUCCAAAAAUUUUUCACCUGUUAUUUGCAGACGAUCUCACUUUGAUGGCUAAAGCCAAUAAGAAAUCGUGUUACUACAUCAAAGAUGGUCUUGACUAUUUUAGUAAAAUUUCUGGGCAAAAAUUAAUCUAGCUAAAUACAAAAUUUUGUUUUCAAAAAAUUGUCCUGAACCUGACAUAAAAGACAUUACAAAUAUACUAGGUAUUAGGAAAAGUGAGUUUUUUGGAACCUACUUAGGAUUGCCUAUAUUAAAUAACACUCCUAGGCCAAGAGAUUACCAAUUCAUAAUUGAUAAGAUGAGAUCCCAACUAGCUGCUUGGAAGAUGAAUUUUCUAAAUAUUGUCGGCAGAACUACACUGGCACACUCUUGUUUAAAUUCUAUUCCUAACCACUAUAUGCAAUAUACCUUACUACCAAAAAAGAUUCUCAAAAACAUUGACAAGGUACAAAGGAAUUUCAUCUGGGUUCUACCAAUGAAAAGAAAAAAUUAUACCUAAUAAAUUGGUCUACCAUAUGCCAACCAAAACCUAGUGGUGGUCUAGGAAUACAUAGUGCUACUUCAAAAAACCACUGCAUAUUGGCUAGUAUGGUUUGAAGAAUGCUCACAAAUCCCACCUCUCCUUGGGCUACUCUUAUAAUCUCCACCUAUGCUUCUAAUAAUGCUAUUAACAAAAACACCUUUAUUUGAAAAAGCAUCAAAAAGGGUUGGGAGUUAUGCAGUAAGGGAAUCACUUGGUCACCCCAUAUCCUCUCUAACAUAAAUAUUUGGGAAGCUAAUUGGAUCCCUGGGGUAGGAAACCUUAGAGUUACUGUGGAAGGCCCUCUUCAAAAAAGUGAACAAGCUAUUAAACUAAAGGAGUUACUAAUUGGGAAAAAAAUGGGAUUUUUAUAAUCUUUCUCUUGAAAUCCCAAAUCACAUUAAGGACAUUAUUAAAAAAAAGUAAUAAUGAGGAAGAAUCAAUUGCUCACAUUUGUAUAAAUUGUAAGGCUAUUAAGCCCUUUUGGGAAAGGAUUGGUUGGCAUCACUACUACAAAGAUUCAGGUGAUCACUGGCUAAUCCAACUGAAAAAUUUUAAAUACACUAUGAAUAACAAUCUCAUAAAUUGGGACAGUCUAUUACCUUUCAUAAUUUGGUAUACAUGAACAAAUAGGAAUAAUAACAAUCAUAAAAACACCUCAUCCCCAAUCAAUGGUGAUUUUAUCUUUAAAAAUGCUACUGAAUAUAAACUCCUUACUGAAAAAAGCAUCUUCACUCCCCCUAAAAUUCCUAUUAAUGUUGCUUGGCACAAGACACAAAAGUGGUGGGCUAAACUUAACAUAGAUGCUAGCUAUAACACUGUUACGCAAAAAAGUGGUUUGGGUGGCACUUUCAGAAAUUCUAAAGGACACUGGAUUGUGGGGUUUAGAAAGUCGUCAUAUGCAAGUGGAUCACUAAAAGAUGAGCUUAAAGCUAUGAUAGAAGGGCUCAAAAUGGCGAAAGAAUGGAACCUAUACUCCCUUGAAAUAGAAUCAGAUUCUGUGGAGGCUAUACAAUCGAUCUUUCAAGGAAAUAUGCUUUAUGAUGAUAUGUUAAUGCAUGCAGGUGGUUAAUGCACCAGCAUAAGGAGAUAAUCCUCUGGCACACAUUCAGGCAGGGGAAUAAUGCAGCUCAUCACAUGGCAAAAAAGGCAAAGGAGGAAUGUGAAGGAAUGGAGAUUUUUGUUGAAGCUCCCUCUUAUGUUAAAUGUUUUGUGGAAAAAGACUUAUUAGAACUAUGUAUUUUUGUUAAACUACUUUCUUAUGAUGCCUGCAAUACUUUGGCAAGCCUAGGCUCAAGAGAAGGUGGAAGGGAAGAAGAAGAAGAAGAAGNAGAANAGANNNNNNNNNNNNNNNNNNNNNNNNNAGAGAGAGAGAGAGAAGAGAGAGAGAGAGAGAGAAGAGAGAGAGAGAGAGAAGAAGAAGAAGAAGAAGAAGAAGAAGAAGAAGAAGAAGAAAGAUGGGGGAGAAAGACAGAUGACAAAGACAAAAGGCGAUAAGGAAAAAGAGGAGAAAAAGUAGCAUCAGAUAGUAACAAAGGGAGGAACAAUUUUCAAUAAAAGAGAGAAAGAGUAGCAUCAAAUAAUAAUAGUCAGGGAGCAACAAUUUUAAGUAUCAAAGAAAGUUAUAGUACUUGUCAAACUUAAAAAUUGAUCGUAGCGUUUAACAAAACAAAAGGAAAGGCUAUCUAAUUGCUUCUGAAGAGCGGUAUAAUUAAGUAAUUAAAAUUGUAUACGGUAAAAUCGGAGGGCUCGAUUUUAUGAUCGUCACCUCGUAGAGACCACUCUCGAAAGGCUCGAAGUUUAGCUCGAAGUUCGCCCCCCAGGAUUCUCAACGGUCGACCCCGAGGCAGUACAAAUCAAAGGCUAUGAUGGACAGACGGGAAGUUCCUAAAGCACGUGAUUAAAGCUGACCUAGGUCUAUUAAGCUAGCAUGAGCCCGUACCGUGGCAUUAAACGGAUGUACCAGCCAUAUAUCUUUGUAAUAAAUGCAUUUGUACUAUGUUGGGAUUCUCUCCACAUAUAUAAAGGGGAUCCUAGUCAUUUUGUAAGGAUAACUGAUACACAAUAUUGAAUACACAAGAACAUUCUCUUUGCUCUCUAACACAUCCUCUCUUGACCCCCUUUUGUUUACGUUUAUUGAUUCCAUUGAUUGCAUUCUUCGUGUUCUAUUUAUUGUUCUUCAGUUAUUGCUCAUUAUUGGCCAUAAAGAGCCGCCAUCAAAUUUAUCAUAACUGUUAAUCCUCCAUCGCCUGCCCUUAGUCGGCCAUCCGACUCGACCUCGAGGCCCAAAAUACGCAAACACGAGGCCCCCGAUUUCUAGUCAUUCGGUUUGAUUAUUACAUUGUUUUCAAGCUAUUAUCUUAUUCCCAAGUCUUUCACUUAGUAUCCAUUACCUAACAACUAGCAUAAAAACAGAUCACGUAUUUUUAGAACCACAAAAUCAAAUCUAAUUAUUAUACUCCCUCUGUUUCAAUUUAUGUGAACCCAUUUAACUGGGCACGGAGUUUAAGAAAAGAGAGAAGACUUUUGAACUUGUGGUGUAAAAUGAGGCAAAUAUAUUUUGUGUGGCUAUAAAUCAUUGCAUAAAGGUAAAUUGUUUCCAAAUAAGGAAAGGGGUCAUUCUUUUUGGCACGGACCAAAAAGGAAAUAGGUUCACAUAAAUUGAAACGGAGGGAGUAACUAUUUUUCGGUAAAUAGUUUGGCGCCCACCGUGGGGAUAAAAAUAAUAGUGAUUGUUUUCUUGCCGGUUUACUACAUAACACAAGUUAUCUUUCAUGAUAUUUCUUGUCCAAGAAUCUUUGAUUUCAGGUCAAAAUAUCUAACUCAGUAAAUGCAUAUGAAAACAACGGUCUUGACGACCAUGGAGAGAAUGGUGUAGUUGUUCUAGGUGUUGGCGCAUCACCACUAAACCCUCAAGGCAUGCUGGAUCCAAUCCCUACAAAUGUGGUCUCACGCGAUUCCCAACACGUCGAUAUAAGCUCCCAUAUUAGCAGGAGCGUACCAAGCAGACCAACAAGAAGCUCAAGAAACCCCAGCUAGGGAAGAACGAGAGGUUAGCCUUCACGUUAUUUUUGAAAUGUUACAGGCACAACAGCUAGCAAUUGCUCAGCUACAAAGCCACCAGAAAACUCCCAGCAUGGUAGCACCGAAAAUGGCUCCCCAAGCCGAGCAGGUACCAGAAAGAUCAAGCAACAACGGGUCGGUAUCCAACCCCGUCAUCAUAAAGAUGCUCGAGGACCUCAAAAAGAGGAUCGAGUCGGGCGAGAAGAAGAUAGAAGCCAACGACAAGAAGGUAGAGACCUACAAUUCCAGGGUCGGCCAAAUUCCCGGCACACCUCCGAUCCUGAAGGGUGUGGAUUCGAAGAAGUUCGUACAGAAGCCGUUCCCACAGGAAGCGGCUCCAAAACACAUUUCAAAGAAGUUCAGAAUGCCAGACCUUCCUAAGUACAACGGAACCUCGGACCCCAAUGAGCACGUCACUACUUACAUUUGUGCAGUAAAGGGCAACGACCUAAAGGACGAUGAGAUCGAAUAUGUCCUACUAAAAAUGUUCGGAGAGACGCUUUCAAAAGGGGCGAUGAUGUGGUAUCACAACCUAGCCCCAAACUCGAUUGAUUCAUUCGCUAUGCUAGCAAUUUCCUUCAUAAAGGCAUAUGUUGGUGCCAUCAAGGUAGCAACAAGGAAAUCUAACGUCUUCAAAAUCAAGCAAAAGGAGAACGAGAUGUUGCGAGAGUUCGUAUCUCGCUUUCAAAUGGAAUGAAUGGAACUACCACCAGUCUCCGACAACUGGGUAAUGCAGGCCUUCACUCAAGGUUUGAACGAACAAACUCGAUGGAUUCGAAACAGCUAAAGCAGAAUUUGGUUGAGUACCCCGUUGUAACUUGGUUGGAUGUUCACAACCUAUAUCAAUCAAAGAUCAGGGUCGAGGACAACCAACUAGGAGCCCCCUUGGGCUCGGUAUACCCAAGCAGACUUUGGCAAAAAAGCCAAAUCCAAACAAAGAAAGGUACCAGCCAUACACCAAAGACAGGAGAAAUGCCCCGAGGCGUAACAUACCCCGAAAUGAUUGAAGAAUAGACCCAGGUCAAAACCCUCAGGGACUCGUGAAUAGAGUCGAAUUCAAUAGGCACACAGGACCGACGGAGGCACCAUGCCUGUCGGAAUACAACUUCAACGUUGACGUGUCGGACAUUGUAUCUACCAUUGGCAAAAUCAGAGAUGCUAGGUGGCCAAGACCCGUACAAUUGGAUCCAUCACAAAGGAACCACAACUUAGUGUGCGAAUUCCAUGGCACAUACGGUCACAGGACCUAAGACUGCAGACAGUUCCGGGAAGAAGUAGUCUGACCACUCAGCAAAGGACACCUCCGAGAGUUCCUCAGCAACUGAGCCAAAAAUCAAUUCCGGGAAAGAGAUGCGAACAGGAAGAAUGAAACAAAUGAGCCGCAAUAUGUCAUCCAUAUGAUCAUAGGAGGAAUCGAUGUCCCACAGGAACCCACUAUCAGAAGAACAAAAAUAUCCAUUACCAGAGAAAAGUGGACUCGAGGUUACAUACCUGACGACACUCACACAUUCAGCGACGACGACAUCGAGACCCUUUUUUAGCCUUAUAAAGAAGCAUUGGUAAUUUCUUUUCUUGUGAAUACAUUUCAAAUUAAACGUGUACUUGUGGAUCCAGGUAGCUCGGCCAACAUUAUCAGGUCAAGGGUCGUGGAGCAGCUCGGACUGCUCGACCAGAUUGUGCCUACCUCUCGAAUCCUCUACGGAUUCAACAUGGAGAGCGAGACAACCAAAGGGGAAAUCAUCCUCCCGGUCAACGUGGCUGGAACAACGCAAAACGCCAAGUUUCAUAUCAUCGAAGGAGACAUAAGGUAAAACGCCUUGCUCGGGAGGCCAUGGAUGCACUGCAUGAGAGAAGUAUCGUCAACCCUGCAUCAAAUGAUUAAAUUUCCUAUGAAAGACAAAAUAAAAACCGUAUAUAGGGAAAAAUAUGCAGCCAAGGAGAUGUUCGUAGUGUAUGAUGUGGCACCGGUAUCAAUGCCUUCGACAUGGAAGGAGUUAAAGGAUAAGCAAAUAGUAAAAUAGCGCUCACAAGGCACAUCCUUAGCUACACUUGAAUACAAUGAACAAAGGAUCGUACUGCAUCCCCUAAGUGAACAUUGGGAGCAUAUCGAGGCUCAAAGCACCAUCGCCACUAAGGUAUGGCCAUUCCUCUUUUUUGUUUGUUUACAUCUUACACUAACCUUCGUGCAGGUUUCUGAACAGGACAUUCGAAGCGCUAUCUAGCUAGAAGACCUUAAGGUUUCAAAUCAUGUGUUGCACUCUUUUCCUUCGACUGGGUUUUUAUCCCGAAAAGGGUUUUACCGGCAAGGUUUUUAACGAGGCAACAUCCAUAUGCUGCUUAAAGAAGACUCAACAAGUAUCAAGGCUUCUCUUCAAUCAACCUCGAAUACUGGGGGGCAUCCCCAUGGAAGGUCACCUCUUCGGAAAAGCCAAGAUGUGCUAAAUAGGGUCUCGAUAUGAAAAUGAUGUACCGGGCCAAACGGUCGAACGAACUGUGUCCGUAUAGAAUAACCGAGCCCUAGACAGCAAAGACGUGUAUACUUGUACCAAGUAAUCAAAGAAUACUUUUCCUCCAUCAAAGCAUUUCGCAUUUCAAAGGAGUUCGGUAUUUCUUACAAAAACGACACCAGAGCCAAAAACCUCCCGAACACUCGGGGACUGACGUCAAAAACUCGAAGCCAUAUGACCACCGAGUCGGAAGUUUCGAACUUGUAAACCCGCAAUGAGCCAACAUCAAGGUUACAAAAACGGCCCCAGAGCCAAAACGUCCCGAACACUCGGGGACUGACGUCAGAAACUCAAAACUAUACAACCCCCAGGUCGGAAGCUUCAAACUUGUAAGCCCUCAACGAGGCAACGUCAAGUCUACAAUAACGGCUCCAGGGCCAACUAAACUUUCAAUGUCCUGGGGACUGCCGAGGCCAUAAGACCCCAUAUGGGCAACCUCAACCUAAAAAGACCUUUAUAAGGCAACACCAAAACUGUAAGAUCUCAAGCAAGGCAUGAACCAUACUUGUACCAAGUAACCAAAACUGUAAGACCUCAAAGGCAUGUAAAAAUUAUAAGACCUUACAAAUAGGCAUUAUCCUGACCUUAAAGUUAAGGCUAUAUAUUCGAACUUGUAAGACCCCUAAAAAGGCAUACCCUCAAUAUAAACGCCAAAACUACUUCACUCAUGGAUUGAAAUGCUCCGACCAAACACAAUGACUAUGGUCACAAGGUUGUACCAGCCAAACUAAUGCGACUCGGGGAUGCCGACCGUUGCUAUAAAAUCACAGGCCUUAAAAUACUUCGAAAGUACUUUGAAAAGAACCGGUUAAAUAGGCUACCCUCGGUAUAGGCAAAAGAGCUUCGACCAUGUCAGCUCCAAAUUAUAGGCUUCGAAGCAUUCAGCCACCGAGCAAAACCUCCCGAGGUGCUCGUUCAUUGCUACAUAACGAUUCACAAUCGAGGCUCUUAACAAGCCGUCGAAGAGUCGGGAAAACACAAAAAAUUCAAAAUCUUUGACGAGAGAAAACAAAGCAUAAAGAGGUUAUACCGACCCUAUGCGUAAGAGCCACUGUCGCUAUCCCAUAUUAAGAGGUAGUACCGACCCUACGCAUAAGAGCCACUGUUACCAGCCCAUAUUAAGAGGAUGCCUACGCGUAAGAGCCACUGUCGCCAGCCCAUGUUAAGAGGUCGUACCGACCUUACGUGUAAGAGCCUAAUAGCUAGCUUAAAAACUUGAGGACAAUAAGCUCGAGUCAAAAUCCGACUCGGAGACUAAGCCCGAAACAGUUAACUAAAUACGCCUAAAGGAAAAUGCAUAAGAGCCUGCGAGCCAGCCUGACGAGCCCCAGGGCCGAACUGUAAACCUAAAGGUUUUUUCUUAAAGGCCAAUUCGCCUGGCUAAUCAUUGACAAAACGUAAAACUCAAAAAUAAAGAAGGGCAUACACAAGCAAAUAGAAAUCCAUAGAAGGAGAAAAUCGAAAGGCUUCUUUAUAUAUGCACGUAUGAAACUAUACAAAGGUUACAUUUGCAAAAGUUCUCCAAGAACAUUGUACAAAGAAUCAAGAAGAAAAAGUCUAGUCUACGUCCCCUUCGAGGAUUGUGGUCUAUCGGCCUUUUCCUCGUUAUCCUCGGUAUUAGACAAAAGGAACUUGGCAUCGUAUUCAUCCGCCUUGACCUGUGCUAUCUCCUCCGGGAGAUCGAAGCCCCUCGCAUGAAUCUCUUCGAGGGUUUCCCUUCGAGAUUUAUACAGUGCAUACUCAUUGCUUCUGCUCUCCCGAUCGGGAGCACUACUCGAUUUAGCUCAAGCAUCAGCAGUGUCUUUUAAGUAGACAACCACUUCCUUAUCGAACUUAGCCCGAAUCUCUUCAGCUUCAGCCCGAGCAUCCACGACCUCGGCCUUCAUCUUCAAAAGAUCAGACUCGAGACUUGCAAUCUUGCUUGUCUAAACCAAGCCAUUUUCAUAGGCAUUCCAAAGCGGUAUCUCGAUAUUAGAAACCUUAGCCAAAGCAUUCUCAUUGGCCGCAAUAUGGGCGUCCAUUUGAGCCUCUAGCUCAUUGCACUCAUGCUUGGCUUGACCGACUUCACCCCAAAGGAGUUCUAGGUCUUUCGUAUUUUUCUGCAACUAAAGUAAACGAAACAUUAGCCUCAAAAUAUAGAAGAAGAAGCACGCUCCCCCUUUGGAACAAAAAUUACCUGCUCCUCUAGGUAGCUUUCGUAGUUCAGACUUCGACUCGCCUCAUACCGCAAGUAUGCCAACUCGUCUUCCCUUUCAUCGCAAAGAAUCCUAAGGGAUUUCUCCCCGUCCAUGGCUUUUCGCAGCUUGGCCUCACGGCAAAGAAGCUCAGACUUGAGCUUGUUAAAAGCCUAUGGAAGAGAAACUCGAUAAGAGAGUGAAAAUUGCAAAAACUAUAAAACCAAUACGAUCGGCUAAAACUCACCACAGAGUAAAGCCGCUGAGCUUCCUCAAAAGUCGAGCGCACAUCUACUAUCCCAGCUCCAUCAACCCUAGCAGAGCCACUCCCGGUUGGUAUACGAUCACCCGAUAUAUGCGACUACUGGCUUCAAACAUCCCUCGAAGUACCUUCGACAGGAGAAGAAGUCGGCGGUAGAGAACCCUUGCUCCUCGAAGUACCUUCGACGAGAAAAAAAGAUAGUAGCGGAGGAGGGACUGUUCUUCUAAAGCCAGAGAUCUCGGGUGCUACAGGCUCGGCUGAUACAUCCUCUCUGAGCCCCCGGCCUAAACUCAUCUUGAUACAAGCACCGUCGCCCUGUGAAGGCCCCUUUUUCUUGUUAUUGACAUUCCUUGGUCCUAAAGUUGACGAUCCUUCUCUGAGAGGGCACGAUCUCACCUCGAAGAACUCUCUAAUGCCUAUGAUGAAGGAGUUAGUACGCGUAAAAAGAAAGUGCCUUUCAAAAAGGGAGCAAAUCACGUAGUACGUACCAUGGUGUUUUGCCUCUCAUCUACCCUUAGACAAGUCUCGCCACUUACGCCCAUCAUAAGUCGAGUGGGUCGUCAACUUCCAAGCCCAAUCCGUCUGGUCGGGGACCUCGUAUGGUAUCCAUGGAAUUGCUGUAGAAAGGGAAAGAAAGGCACAUUUACAAGGCCCGCCUCCACCAUAAACAAAACAUGCUUUUGAGGUCUUACAGUUUUGGUUACUUGGUACAAGUAUGGUUCAUGUCUUGCUUGAGGUCUUACAGUUUUGGUGUUGCCUUAUAAAGGUCUUACGGGGUUGAGGUUGCCCAUAUGAGGUCUUAUGGACUUGGCAGUCCCCGGGACAUUGAAAUUUUAGUUGGCCCUAGAUCCGUUAUUGUAGACUUAACAUUGCCUCGUUGAGGGCUUGCGAGUUUGAAGCUUCCGACCCGGGGGUCAUACAAUUUUGAGUUUUUGAUGUCAGUCCCCGAGUGUUUGGGACGUUUUGGCUUCGGGGUCAUUUUUGUAACCUUGAUGUUGCCUCAUUGAGGGCUUACAAGUUCGAAGCUUCCAACUCGAUGGUCAUACGUCUUCGAGUUUUUGACGUCAGUUCCCGAGUGUUCGGGACUUUUUGGCUCUGUAGUCGUUUUUGUAAGAAAUACUGAACUCCUUUGAAACACGAAAUGCUUUGAUGGAGUAAAAGUAUUCUUUGAUUACUUGGUACAAGUAUACACGUCUUUGCUGUCAAGGGCUCGGUUAUUCUAUACGAACACGGUUCAUCAACUUCCAAGCCCAAUCCGUCACGUUGGGGACCUCGUAUGGUAUCCAUAUAAUUACUGCAGAAAGGGAAAUAAAGGCGCAUUUACGGGGCCCGCCUCUGCCAUAAACAAAAAAACAAAGGCAAAAGUGUACCACUUACAUGUAAAAUUCUAUUCCUUGGGAAACUACAGAAACUUCGCAGGGAUAAUGUCAACAGUCCGUACUCGGACGAAUCGGCUCAUCCAUCCCCGAUCCCCAUCUUUUUCAUCGUCGACAACGAAGGGCCUAGUGGAUUGGCAUCAUAGGGUUAGUAGGCCUCGGUGAUGAAAAGGCCGAUACAGCCUGAUAAGAUGGCUAAGGGUGAACUCGAGCCCUACUUCCUCCGCAAAGAAUCGCAUCAUCAAUACUAUCUUCUAAAAUGAAGAUGAACCUAUGCCAAGGUAGCCUAAUACUUCCAACAGAAGUCGAGCACAACCCUAUCAAGGGGACCCAGCGUAAAGGGGUACGUGUAUACGUUCAAAAACCCCUCAGCAUAAUCCAUAAUGCUCUCCUCCGGGGAAGGUACCCACAGUACUACCUUUUCCCCCUAUCCACAAUCUUUCCUCACUGACUCAAGGUGCCCCUCUCCUAUUAAAGAAAUAAACUUCGAGGAAUACUCCUAAUGACCCUGAACGUUGGGAGGUUUUUCUGACAAAAAAUCCCCCCUCGAAACAAAAUGUCUUGAGGUUGGCUUGCCUGGCACCACCGGCACACCACCAACCAGGUGGGAACUAGAGACAGAACCUCCUUCUCCUUGCAGAAUGGAUCCCGGCAUAACAGCCAUAACUAUGGUAAAAUCAGAGAAUUAGAGCGGGAAUUUGAGCGAGGGCUUCAAAGUUAAAAUGGUGAAAGACCUAACGCAGGAAAGAAGAACUUUGUGAAGGGGGAUAGCUACUCAGGAUAGCGGAAUCCUUAAAGGAAGGAAGACAAACCUAUAUAGAGAAAGCGGUAACUGUCCGCCUGCCUCAAAGGCUAAUUAAAAAAUACUGACUAAGCCUUUAUCGCUUUGGGAAGAUGUAACCGGUGGGAUCGCCUCGGUUGUUUCAUAAUCAUCUCAUACAAUUGACGCUGUCAUACGUCAUUCUAGGAUCAAAGGCCUCCGCAUCAACCUAGUCUUGAGAUGGUACCCGAUCUUGAGGAUUUCUGCUCCCAUGACUGAAGGCUCUAAGGAGCCAUUAAUAUCAUUACAAGCCUCGAGAUGGUACCCAAUCUCGAGGACUUUCGUCAGAAAAGAAGAAAGGCUCUAAGGAGCCAUUAAUAUCAUUACAAGCCUCGAGAUGGUAUCCGAUCUCGAGGACCUCCGUCAAAAAAGAAGGAAGGCUCUAAGGAGCCAUUAAUAUCAUUUACAAGCCUCGAUAUAGUACCUGAUCUCAAGGACCUCCGUCAAAAAAGAAGGAAGGCUCUAAGGAGACAUUAAUAUCAUUACAAGCCUCGAGAUGGUACCCGAUCUCGAGGACCUAUGUCAAAAAAGAAGGAAGGCUCUAAGGAGCCAUUAAUAUCAUUACAAGCCUCGAGAUGGUACCCGAUCUCGAGGACCUUCUCAAAAAAGAAGAAAGGCUCUAAGGAGCCAUUAAUAUCAUUACAAGCCUCGAGAUGGUACCCCAUCUCGAGGACCUCUGUCAAAAAGAAGGAAGUCUCUAAGGAGUCAUUAAUAUCAUUACAAGCCUCGAGAUGGUACCCGAUCUCGAGUGCCUCCAUCAAAAAGAUGGUAGGCUCUAAGGAGCCAUUAAUAUCAGUAUGAGUCUCGUGAUGGUGCCCGAUCUUGAGGAUCCCUAUCAAAACGAAAGAUAAGCUCUAAAUAGCUACUCAUAUAUAAGCCCAACCUCGAGGUGGUAUCCUGCCUUGAGGAUUUCUGCUAUUACGAAUGCAGGUCGCUCACCCGAUUCCUUGGCCCUCGAGCUACCUGAGCUCGAGCCAGUUCACACUUAAGAAUCACUAAUGAAGCCUUAGGGCUACCUUUACUCUAAGUUCAAAUCGAGUUUUUUAGGCCACCUGAACAUAGGCUAAAUCUCACUCAGGGGGUUGUCUGUGAAAGUCCUGGGGCUAUCGUUUUUCUCAGGCGUUUGAGCAAAUCCUCCCUCGAAGACUACCAACGGGGUCUAAAAGGAGCUAAGUUUGUUCUAAAAAUCGAGGCCCCAUUCUCACUCGAUUCAAGGUUGCCAGUUUCGGCAGUCUAAGUCUGUACCAAGUCAACCCGGACUUGGUCCGAGAGACGGCAAAGGGUUUCAGGGAAAAUCAUAUUGACCGAUCAAAUAACCGAGAGAACACCUACACCCGGGUCCGAUAGUCGGACCAAUUGGUAGAGUCACAUGCUCAUAUUCUUCAUAAACAAAUAAAAGGAAGUCCAGCAUAAAUCAGAGACAAAUCAAAGAAACAUCUUUGCAUUAAUAAACCAUGAUUACAAAAGCCCAUGAAAGGUCCUUACACAUGACUAAAAAAUCCCAAGAAGGGUCCUUACAUAGAAACAAGGAAGCAAAAAAAAAAUAUAAAAACUAAGAGUCUAAUCUAUUCUGGGGUGUCCUCGGCGGCAGUGUCUUCCAGAACCAUUUCCUCGGGGGCCUCAUCUCGAUCUUCCAAACGGCAUCUUCAAGGAUGAAGAAGAAGCAGAAAAAGAUGAAGAAGAAGCAGAAAAAGAUGAAGAAGCGGAGAGGGAUGAAGAAGUGGAUGGGUGAAAAUUUUGGCGAGUAUGGAUCUCGCCAGCACUACUAUUGUGAAGCCAUUUGAGACGUUGCACUGGUGCAGGAUGCAACAGUUAGUAGAUGGCACCAACUCACUCCACGGAAAGCAAAAGGAGUGAGGCAUCGCACCGGGUAGUUAAGAGAGAUGAGUAGAAGUUCGUAGUCUGCAUAUCCUUUAAUGCGAAAAUAAUUUGAGAUUUCUCUCUCAUUACCUCGGGCCAACAACAAUAACAACAAUAAAAAAUCAGUGCAAUCCCGCUCAGUAGGGGAAAGCUUUGGGAAAGGGCCAUGGCGUAACUGAUGAGGACACUGCCAUGUGACCUUAAGGCCACAGGCUUCAAACAUGAGAAAUAACACUAGAUGAGGACGAAGAGAAGAGAGUAAAAAGGCUGUUAAAGAACGAUUGAAUGAAGAUGUGGUUCCAAAAAGCUUCCGUUUAUAGAAAAGGUGGCAGCGCAACUAACAGCACAAUCAAUAUCUUUGGGAAACGUAUAGACGGGCGCAAUCAAUGCCUGUUGGGAGACGGAUCGGCGACGAUAUUAUCACCUUGAGAAAGUAAACAGGCACUAUAAUAAAUGUUCCUAGAAAAGACAUAUCGAUGGGAUGUCUCAAUUAUCGCAAAAGUUGAUGUCAUAAGCAUGACAUCACCAUAAGAGGCUCGAGGAGAUCGGUGUCACAAUCGUUUCUUAUUAUUUUAAUCUAAGAAACGCGGGGACUAUCUGUAUACGGUAAAAUCGGAGGGCUCGAAUUUAUGAUCGUUAGGGUGCUUCGUAGAGACCGCCCUCGAAAGGCUCGAAGUUUAGCUCAGAGUACGCCCCCAAGGAUUCUCAAUGGUCGACCCCGAGGCAGUACAAAUCAAAGGCUAUGAUGGAUAGACGGGAAGUUCCCAAAGUACGUGAUUAAAGCUGACCUAGGUUUAUUAGGCUAGCAUGAGCCCGUACCGUGGCAUUAAAUGGUUGUACCAGCCAUAUAUCUUUGUAAUAAAUGUAUUUAUACUAUGUUGGGAUUCCCGCACAUAUAUAAAGGGGAUCCUUGUCAUUUUGUAAGGACAUUUGAUAUACAAUAUUGAAUAAACAAGAACAUUCUCUUUGCUCUCUAACACAUCCUCUCUUGACCCCUUUUUAUUUAUAUUUAUUGUUUGCAUUCAUCAUGUUCUAUUUAUUGUUCUUCAAUUUUACUCAUUAUUGGCCAUAAAGAGCCACCAUCAAAUUUAUCAUAACUGUUAAUCCUCCAUCGUCUGCCCUUAGUCGGGCAUCCGACUCGAUCUCGAGGCCCAGAAUAUGCAAGCCCGAGGCCCCCGAUUUCCAGUCAUUCGAUUUGAUUAUUACAUUGUUUUCAAGCUAUUAUCUUGUUCCCAAGUCUUUCACUUAUCAUCUAUUACCUAACAACUAGCAUAAAAACAGAUCAAGUAUUUUUAGAACCACAAAAUCAAAUCUAAUUAUUAUAACCAUUUUCAUGGUAAACAAAAAUAUUAUGUAGUGUGCUCUCUCCUACAACAUAACUGUAACGACCUGACCGGUUAUUUUACUUUCUAGAACCUUGUUCCCCUAAAUAAGACUUUUCGUACAUGCUUUUAUUGUUUUAUGACUUGCGUGGAUGGUUAUUUCGAGAUUUUGAAGGGUUCGAGUUGAAAUAGGAACACUUGGUUCCUUAAGGCUAGCUUGAAAGGGCUAAGUUUGACUUCGGUCAACAUUUUGAGUAAACGACCUUCGAUUCAGGAUUUGAUGGGCCCAAUAGGUUUGUAUGAUAAUUUCGAACUUGGGCGUAUGUUCGGCUCGGAUUUUGGAUGAUCCGGGAGCGUUUCGGUGCCUAAUAGCAAAAGUUGGAAUUUGAGUAAAUUUUAUAAGUUUGGGUUGAAGUAGAUUUUUACAUUCUAGAUGUCCGUUUGGCAUGCCUAAUAGUGAAAGUUGGCAUUUGAGUGAAUUUUAUAAGUUUGGGUUGAAGUAGACUUUUACAUUCUAGACGUCCGUUUGGGAUUUCGUGCCUGGGAAUAGCUCCGUAUGGUGAUUUUGGACUUAGGAGCACGUCCGGAAGUGGAUUCGGAGGUCCGUAGGUCGUUUCGAGGUCAAUUGGCGAAAGUUAAAAAUUUGAAGUUUUUGGAAAGUUUGACCGAGGGUGGACCUUUUGAUAUCGGGUUCGGAUUCCAGUUUUGGAAGUUGGAAUAGGUCUAUAAUGUCAUUUAAGACUUGCACGCAGAAUUUGGCAUCAAUCCAAAUUAAUUUGAUAGGCAUCGGACGCGCGGAAGUGUUUUUAGAAGUUUUUGAGUUCAUAAAUUAAUCCAUGCGUUUUGGCGUCCGAUUCAUGGUUUUUGAUGUUAUUUCAGUGUUCCGAUCGCGCGAGCAAGUUUGUAUGAUGUUGUUAGACUUGUGUGGGUGUUUGGUGUGGAGCCCCGAGGGCUCGGGUAAGUUUCAGACAUUCAGAAGGAUGAAAAACACAUCAAUUUUCGGGUGUUUCUUGGCAGCAAUUGCAGGUUUCGCAAAUGCGAGAAAUUGUUCGCAAAUGUGAACCUCGCAUUUGCGAAAAGAGCUUCGUAAUUGCAAAGAAGCUCGACCUGGCAGUGUUCGCAUUUGCGACCCCUCCGUCACAUUUUCGACCUGAGCAGCUAAAGCCCAGGGUCCGCAUUUGGUAUUUGUCGCAUUUGCGACCUUCGCAUUUGCAAACCUGGUGUUGCAAAUGCGACAUCAGAGAACUAUGCCAGCUCAUUUAAUGCGGGACUUAGACCAUUUAUCUCAUUUCACUUCAUGUCUUGGGCGAAUUUUAGAGCUUUUGGAAUAGGAUUUUUACCUAGCACUUUGAGGUAAGUAGUUUCUACACAACAUGAGUUAAAUACAUAGAUUAUGGGUAGAUUAAGAUGUAAACAUUAGUGAAAAUCAAAAGUUUAGAUGAAAAUCAAGGUUUUUGAUAAAAAUGAUAUUUAACCACGAAAUUGGUUAUAGAAUUUAGUAAUAAUCAUAUAUUUAAGUUCAUGAAGUUGUGGAUAACAACUUUCUUCAAAAAUUUCCGGAAUCCGGGCACUUGGACCCGGAGGUAAAUUUUAAGAAUCUUACAUUUAGAAUUGGGUAAUCACUUUAAUAGUUGGGGUAUGAACUUUUGAGCAUAAAUUGAUUACUUUAUAUAAUAUUUGACUAGUUUUGAGUCAUUUGGCACCAAAUUUGGGGGUUUGAGCACAACCUUGGACCGGAAAGUAGGCCUUGAGACGAGGUAAGUCUCUUUUCUAACCUUGUAAGAGGGAAUUAGCCCCAUAGGUGAAUUAUAACUAAUAUGUGCUCCUAUGUAUGGGUGUUACGUAUGUACGAGGUGACGAGAGUCUGCACAUAGCUACUAGUUAUGCUAUUGUCCAGGUAGUCUAGGACCUAUACCAUGCUAUACUUGAAAUGUUUGUGCCCCUACUUGUUGAAUUAAUUGCUUAAGUCAUGUUAGAAGUUGAUAAAAGAAUUGUAAAAGCUUAAACUCACCUACUUGAAGUUGUGAAUGGAACAUUUGACUAUAAUGAGAAUUUGUGAUUUUAUUUGAAAUAUUUUCUAAUUGUGGAGCGAGCUGAACGCCUCGGUAGCAGAUAGAUGCAUCUAUGACUCGUGUCGUUCGACUCUGGGCAGGGCGCAAUUUAAAUAUUAUAUUGGAUCGGGUCGUACGACCUCGACAUAAUUUGCGCAUGAUAACCUUUGGAGCUAUUCAUGAUGGAUAUUGCUUAAAUGUAUUGAAAUACAAGUUGUUAAAUGAUGAAACUAAACUUGAGACUUAAUAUUUGCAAAAAGAAGAAUUUACAACUUCAUGCUAUUGAAUUUUCAGUAUUCAUUAAAUCCAUGACUAGUAUAAGAUUUUAAUAUAUCAUUGUUAGCCCAUAGUAAAUGUCAAAGUCGACCCCUCGUUACUACUUUUUCGAGGUUAGACUGACUACUUACUGGGUACAUGUUGUUUAUGUACUCACGCUACACUUCUGCACUUAAUUGUGCAGGAUCUGAGGCAGGUAUAUCUGGUUAUCAGUUCGGCGCGCAUGCUUGACUUAUGAUCGAGACUACACGGUGAGUUGCCUUUCCGAGCCAUUCAGCAGCAGUCGGAGUCUCUCUUUUGAUUUAUUUUCUAUCUAUUCUAUUUCAGACAGUAGAGUAGAAUUCUUUUUUAUAUCCUACUAGUAACCUAUAUACUUGUAACACCGGGUCUUGGCACACACAUCAGUAGACUCAUGAUUUUUGGAUUCACUGUAUGAUUUCGAUUUGUACUCAAUUGCUUCUGUUUACGUAUUUUACAACUGUUAUUUCAUAAAUCUUUUAAAAUGAGGAAAGUUAUUCACUUGGCUAACUUACUAAACGGGAAAUCACUAGAUUGUUCGGUGUUGGCUUGCCUAGCAAUGGUGUUGGGCGCAAUCAUAGCCUGUAAUAGAAUUGGGUAGUGACAGUAACAUGUUAGACGAAAGGAUCACAUAAUUCGAUUAGUAUAAGAGUAGUCCAGAGGUCUUGAAUUCAAAUCUCACCAUCAUCCAAAAAGUAAAAACAUUAAUUAUGUGUUUGGCCCAUGAAUAAAGAAGUAUUUCUAUACAUAAGAAGACAUAUUAACAACAUAAUAAUAUAAUUAAUUAAUUAAUUAAAAUUAUGGCCACUUACAGCUCACUAGCAUCAAAUUGCUCCUGAUUUUGUGAAUCUCCUUUUAGAUAUUCCACAUUCAAACGUGUUUAAGCACUAGCUAGCAAAUGAUUGAUUUAUUUUAGUGUCUCUCCUUUUAGAUAUUCCACAUUCAAACGUGUUUAAGCACUGGCUAGCAAAUGAUUGAUUUAUUUUAGUGUCUCUUAUUAUAUUAGAUAUCGUGUUCUACCAACUUCCUUGCCUAGCCAUGUGCAUAUGCUUAAUGGGGUCUUAGAUUUGCUACCCUCUGUCCCCUCCUUGGGAAUACUAGCGGUGACAUCUUAUAGUACUCCCUACAAUUUAUGUAAAUCUAUUUCCUUUUUAGUCCGUAUCAAAAAAAAAUGACCCUUUUUUUUAUUUGGAAACAAUUUACCUUUACAAAAUGACUUAUAGCCACACAAAAUAUAUGUGCCUUAUUUUACACCAUAAAAUCAAAAGUCUUCCCUCUUUUCUUAAACUCUGUGUCCAGUCAAAUGAGUUCACAUAAAUUGAAACGGAGGGAGUAUUAUUUAAAGAAAACGUCAAAGAUUUGGCUACAAAGGGAGGAGGGAGGGGGGAGGGGGAAGAGAAAGAGAGAAAACUAGGCAAUAAUAUGGAAUAUAUUUUUAUAGUUGAUCUAGCAUAGUUUUCCGUGAUAGCUAACAGUACCCGAUGGAUCAACAAUACCAAAUUGGCUUUUCGAAUCACUCAUGAGCUUCCUUUUCUUUAAUUAUUACAUUUGUUUUGAACCAAUAUGGAGGGGACAUAUCUAGAAAUUUCAAUCAAUAGUUCGUCAAGUACCACCAUGUUCACUGAGUAGUCAAUCCAAAAUAUUAAGAUCAUGCGUGUUUCUUUUUUUUUUUUAGACAUAAAUUUUUAUGAAUAGCAUACCAUAAAUCAGAGGCGGAGCUAGGAUUUAGAGUGUGUGGGUUCUAAAAUUUAAAAUAGGGCUAUGACCUAAAACUAAUAAACAAUAUCAAACUGACUAAAAAAUUAGUAUCGAUAUUUAAUAUAUAUUUAAAAAGCAACAAAAGACAAACACAAUAUAUGGCCCCGAAAAGGAAUUCCUCUUCUAGUAGAAGUUACACUCUCAUCAUGGCCCCGAAAAGGAAUUCCUUCUUUCAAAAGAUACCUUAUCACAUUAUUGAAGCAUUCAAACGAACUCGAUGUUCACUUUUAAUUUUCUCCGAUUGCUUGUCCAAAGAAGUUAGAAUGGAUUGUGUUUGGCUCAUCAAAUUAAAUCUAGCAUCAUCUUGAAAUAUCGAUUAUGAACACUACUCAUGUCACCCACAUGUGAUUUAAGCCUUUCUAAACCUUUAUUCCAACCUCUAAAACCAUCGUUGUGAAAGCAUCACCUACUUUUUUUCCAUAUCCUCCAACCUCCUUUUUAAACAAAUAACAACAUAAACAAAAUGUUGCAUCUUGUUUAAUACUAUAUUCUAACCAUUGAGAACAUGAAGUUUUAAACCAUUUAGGACUAAAGUAACGCAUUAUUCCUCCAAAAUCUCUUUUUGGGAAGACAAACCACGAGGUUGACAAGGUCCAUUUUGUAUAUAAUUUCUCCUUAUGCGGUCACGUAAAUUAGGAGGAUAUUCUGAAAUUGAUUUUCUUUUAGCAGGAUCGGACUCAUAAUCCCACACUUUAGGAGGAUAUCAUAGCGAUUUUUGCUAGAAAAACCUAAAAAUCAGAAAAAACAAAUUCACUUGAAGUUUUAUGUUUCAAAUGCUAUAACAAACUAUUCUUUAUCUCCUUUGACAUAGUUCAAUUUGUAACUAUAAUAUGAUUUGUUCCCAAAAUUUAAAAACUUAGUGUAGCUAGUUAGUUCUCAUAAAUUGACAAAGAGAAUAGAGGUCAAACUAUGAGACAACCCUAGAAUCAAAUAUUAAAAAUUAAAUUUUGCAUAAAUUAUCAAAUAUAAAAUAUAAGAUUAAAACAUGAAGCAAAAAAUCAGAAAAUAAGAAUUGAAGAAGGAAGAACUUAGAAGGGUCUAACUUCUAAGGGACAAAGAGCAUACACUGAUACACAGUGGAGAGUUGGAGGGCGUCCGACAGAUUGUGGUACCAGUGAUUGUCAAUCAAUCGCACAGGCAGAGGUGCAGCAGCUGAGCAGAACCCUAGUUUUUUUUUUUGAUUUGGGAAUUGGAGGAAAACGUUUGUGUUUAAAGUUGGAAAGCUUCUGGUCUUUGUUUAUUAGAAAGAAAACAAG
rnacentral:lncRNA from 1 species